GACGAACGCUGGCGGCGUGCUUAACACAUGCAAGUCGAACGGAAAGGCCCUGCUUUUGUGGGGUGCUCGAGUGGCGAACGGGUGAGUAACACGUGAGUAACCUGCCCUUGACUUUGGGAUAACUUCAGGAAACUGGGGCUAAUACCGGAUAGGAGCUCCUGCUGCAUGGUGGGGGUUGGAAAGUUUCGGCGGUUGGGGAUGGACUCGCGGCUUAUCAGCUUGUUGGUGGGGUAGUGGCUUACCAAGGCUUUGACGGGUAGCCGGCCUGAGAGGGUGACCGGCCACAUUGGGACUGAGAGACGGCCCAGACUCCUACGGGAGGCAGAAGUGGGGAAUAUUGCACAAUGGGCGGAAGCCUGAUGCAGCAACGCCGCGUGCGGGAUGACGGCCUGCGGGUUGUAAACCGCUUUCGCCUGUGACGAAGCGUGAGUGACGGUAAUGGGUAAAGAAGCACCGGCUAACUACGUG
rnacentral:rRNA from 1 species